rnacentral:lncRNA from 1 species
GCGACUCAUAAGCCUGAGGGCACAUAAAAUAAUUGCAUGGACAAAUCCACGAAUGAGUAAAAUUACAAGGGCUGAAGUGCAAUAUUUGCCAAAGGAUAAGAUUCCCCAAUCUUCUUCUCUCCUCUGCGUGCGUACGCGGUGGCCAUUGAAUACACCGCCGAUGUUGCUAUCUUUUGGAACGACGACUUGCCGUGCGUCUGCACGCGCCUGGAACCGAUGAGGCAACGCCGCGCGUUGCCACUGGGCUGAGGCCCGCGCCGCCGUCUGGGGCAGUCUGGUCGUCUAAGUCCAGCCGGAGCAGUGGAGGCCUGGAGGGCGCUACCGCCCUAUGGCGUGCAUCCGGAGAAGCCGCGUCGAGGCCGAAGACUGCAACAGAUCUUUGCGCUUGGAGCCGCCUCCGUGCCGGAGGGUGUCGGCGUACCACGCGCCGGCAUCCUUGACCAUGUCGACGGUGAGAAUAAUUACCAAUCUUCACCGGUUCCUCAUUUCAUCUCUCAUCGUGGCCUUCGCACUCGGCCGAGUCUUAUUUGACAUCGGUAAUCCAAUGUUGAAGAUCGACGGAGAUGUGGAUCGCCAGGGUUGGUGAUGUUCGUCGUGUCGGAUAAUGCCGACAAUCGCGCGAGGCAUCGAGGAGGUCUGUGCGUGUACGCCUUGUUGAUGCGUCCGAGCGCCGUCGUAUGUUUCUCUGGCCUAAUCGCUCUGUUAGGGCAAGGUGUUGAUAACGUGUGAAGAAUAAAAGCAAAUGACCGAAGAGUCUUUCUAAAACUGGGUAUUUAUACCCUUCUUACAAGGCAGUUAGAGUUACAAUGUCAAAACCGACGUAAACAACCGACUUAAGCAUUGAUUACUAGGAUUAAAUUAAUCCUUAACAAUCCUUUCAGUGACG